GAAGGUGUAUCUAGAAAGACAAAUUAGAGCUUGAAAAGUAAAGCAUUUCAUUUACAUUGAAAAGUAUAUUGUGUGAUUCAAUUUAAUUUGAUAAUAAAAAUUUAUUAAUUUUUUAAUGUUUAAAAAUUUAUUUUAAUAAAAUUAAUUUUAAAUUUAGAUUUUUUUUGUAUAAUAUAUUGAUCAAAUAAUUUAUAUAAUAGUUAAUUAGUAUUGUAAAAGAAUAUUGAAAUAUAUGAAAAAGUUUUAAAUUAAAAGUAAAUUUUAUAUAUUGUACCUUGUGUAUCAGGGUUUAUUAAUUAAAAGUUAAAAAUUUAAUUUUUCUCGAAUUUAAGAGAGUUAAUUUAUUAUUUAAUUUUUUGUUUCAUAAAAAUUUAAAAUAAUAAGUUAGAAAUGAAAUGUUAUUCGUUCUUAAAUAUAUCUAGUUUUUUAAGAAAUAAAUUAAAUUUAGAUUAUUAAUAAAUAAUUAUUUAUUUAAAUAAUAAGUUAUUAUUAAUAAUUAAUAUUUUAAGGGAUAAGCUUUAAAGUAAGUUUUAUAAUAAUUUUUUAAUUUAAAAAUUAUAGGUUUAGAAAUAGUCAUUAAUUAUAAAAAUGUUAUAAUUUAUUUUAAAUUAAAAAUAAUUUUUAUUAAUUUAAAUUUUUUAUUAAAAUAAUUUUUAAAAUUAUGUAAGAAUUAAAAUAAUGAUAAAAUUAGUAUAUUUUAAUUAUUUAAAAUAAAUAAAUUGAAAGGUUAAAUUAAGGAACUUGGCAAAUAAAUACUCGCCUGUUUAACAAAAACAUGUCUUUUUGAGUAUAAUUUAAAGUCUAAUCUGCCCACUGAAGAAUUUUAAAGGGCCGCGGUAUU
rnacentral:rRNA from 1 species